rnacentral:rRNA from 1 species
GAUGAACGCUGGCGGCGUGCCUAAUACAUGCAGGUCGAGCGAACAGAUGAGGAGCUUGCUCCUCUGACGUUAGCGGCGGACGGGUGAGUAACACGUGGAUAACCUACCUAUAAGACUGGGAUAACUUCGGGAAACCGGAGCUAAUACCGGAUAAUAUAUUGAACCGCAUGGUUCAAUAGUGAAAGACGGUUUUGCUGUCACUUAUAGAUGGAUCCGCGCCGCAUUAGCUAGUUGGUAAGGUAACGGCUUACCAAGGCAACGAUGCGUAGCCGACCUGAGAGGGUGAUCGGCCACACUGGAGCUGAGACACGGUCCAGACUCCUACGGGAGGCAGCAGUAGGGAAUCUUCCGCAAAGGGCGAAAGCCUGACGGAGCAACGCCGCGUGAGUGAUGAAGGUCUUCGGAUCGUAAAACUCUGUUAUUAGGGAAGAACAAAUGUGUAAGUAACUAUGCACGUCUUGACGGUACCUAAUCAGAAAGCCACGGCUAACUACGUG